UACGAGGGGCCCAAACGUUAUUCGGAAUUACUGGGCUUAAAGAGUUCGUAGGCGGCGCGGAAAGUGGGGUGUGAAAGCCCUCGGCUCAACCGAGGAAUUGCGCUCCAAACUACCGUGCUUGAGGAAGCUAGAGGUGAGCAGAACUGAUGGUGGAGCGGUGAAAUGCGUUGAUAUCAUCAGGAAUACCGGAGGCGAAGGCGGCGCACUGGGGCGUUUCUGACGCUGAGGAACGAAAGCGAGGGUAGCGAACGGG
rnacentral:rRNA from 1 species